rnacentral:rRNA from 1 species
UACGAAGGGGGCGAGCGUUGUUCGGAUUUACUGGGCGUAAAGGGCGCGCAGGCGGUCUUGUAAGUCAGGCGUGAAAGCCCCGGGCUUAACCUGGGAAUUGCGCUUGAUACUCUGAGACUGGAGUACGGGAGAGGAGAGUGGAAUUCCCAGUGUAGAGGUGAAAUUCGUAGAUAUUGGGAAGAACACCAGUGGCGAAGGCGACUCUCUGGACCGUAACUGACGCUGAGGCGCGAAAGCGUGGGGAGCAAACAGG